GUGUCCAAUGUACAAGGUGUCAACCCGUUUCGGGACGCACCCUGAAAGGACUUAAAAUCCUUUUCCCGGUAACGGGAGUGCGGGUUCGAUUCCCGCCCGGGCACG
rnacentral:tRNA from 1 species